UGUCUAUUGUACCUUGUUGCUUCGGCGGGCCCGCCGUUUCUGACGGCCGCCGGGGAGGCCCUCGCGCCCCCGGGCCCGCGCCCGCCGAAUACCCCAACAUGAACACUGUUCUGAAAGUAUGCAGUCUGAGUUUGAUUAUCAUAAUCAGUUAAAACUUUCAACAACGGAUCUCUUGGUUCCGGCAUCGAUAAAGAACGCAACGAAAUGCGAUAAGUAAUGUGAAUUGCACAAUUCAGUGAAUCAUCGAGUCUUUGAACGCACAUUGCGCCCCCUGGUAUUCCGGGGGGCAUGCCUGUCCGAGCGUCAUUGCUGCCCUCAAGCACGGGUUGUGUGUUGGGCCCCCGUCCCCGGCUCUCCCCGGGGACGGGCCCGAAAGGCAUCAGCGGCACCGCGUCCGGUCCUCGAGCGUAUGGGGCUUUGUCACCUGCUCUGUAGGCACUGGACGGCGCCAGCCGACACCCCCAACUAUAUUUUCUAAGGUUGACCUCGGAUCAGGUAGGGAUACCCGCUGAACUUAAGCAUAUCAAAAGCCGGAGGAA
rnacentral:rRNA from 1 species